UAGGGAAUCUUCCGCAAUGGACGAAAGUCUGACGGAGCAACGCCGCGUGAGUGAUGAAGGUCUUCGGAUCGUAAAACUCUGUUGUUAGGGAAGAACAAGUAUAAGGCGAAUAACCUUAUACCUUGACGGUACCUAACCAGAAAGCCCCGGCUAACUACGUGCCAGCAGCCGCGGUAAUACGUAGGGGGCGAGCGUUGUCCGGAAUUAUUGGGCGUAAAGGGUGCGUAGGCGGUCUUCUAAGUCUGAUGUGAAAGCCCCCGGCUUAACCGGGGAGGGUCAUUGGAAACUGGAAGACUUGAGUGCAGAAGAGGAGAGCGGAAUUCAACGUGUAGCGGUGAAAUGCGUAGAGAUGUGGAGGAACACCAGUGGCGAAGGCGGCUCUCUGGUCUGUAACUGACGCGGAGGCACGAAAGCGUGGGGAGCAAACAGG
rnacentral:rRNA from 1 species